ACCCCAAUCCACAGCCCCCACACACUCCCUCCUCCUUUCCUCGUCCGCCGCUGCACUCCUUCUCCUCUCCCAACCUGGCGACUCCCCUCCCCGUCCUCCCUCUCUCCUCCGCCGCCGGAAGCCACCAGGUUCGACGGCCGGGGCGCAUGCGCCACAUCGACCGGGGCGCCGCCGAAGUCACCACGCGCCGCACCAGUCCACCGCCGCUACACCCUCCCUCCUCCUCCUCCCUCAUCACCACCACACUCUCUGCCAUAGGACCGCGCGCUCGUCCUGUCGCCCCUGCCAAGGUGUCGCGGCGCUCUUCCUGGGCCCUCGCGUCCGGUCUCACCUGGUCCUCAAUGCCAGCCUCAUCGGCUUGCCGAGCUGGCACAGCGGCACCCGCUCUCGACGCCGUCCUUGCGACUCGACCGUGGCAAACCCGAGGGCCAUAGGUGGCUCAUGUGGUGGUGCAGCGGACGACAGCCUCAUCGGGUGGGCGACGGCGACCGCAGCUGGUGCACGAGCUCACACCCCAAUGCUUUUGUGCUCGAGUAGCUUGCAUCUUCACGGCCACCAAAUGCGCAGGACGGUAGUUCAAUUUUCUGCGGAUGAGUCCUUGUCGGAUGGAUGGUGACUAAUGAGAUGCAGUUCUUUGUCUCAAUAAUUUUAGUAAAGGGAUUCUGUACAAGGUAAGAUUACCAGGCAUAGCGGCAAUGCAGCUAGCAAGUGCUCCAGGAUUUCAUGUUGCUAGAUUUGCCGCAGAGGCAAAUGCAUGACUUACUUGCUUUUGACUUUCAUAGUGUUCAGAUCUUUUCUUGUGACAAGGAUGCACAAAAUCAAGUUUUUGCCGGCAGUAGUUUCUUUCGCUGUUCAACUGAUCUGUUCCACUGGAACAAGGGGUCCACUGGACUUCUUAUUGUUUCCCAGCCUGAUGUGGUGGCUCGUUGUGUCUGUGGUCGCUUUUGUAUCUAUGUGAGGUCGUAGGGGACGGGUCUGUCCUUACCCCUUACUGGGUUAUUGCUCGACCUUUCGGGGGACUGUUCUGGUCUAGUGCUAUGAAGGGAGUCCUUUUGGAGCUCUGCCUCGUGUUGUUUCAUGAACGCCUAUGAACAAGAUGCUCUACAUGCCAUACGUAAUUUACGAGGUCUACACACUGUGUCAUUAUGUUGACCAUGUGUGACAAGGGCUAGGCAAAUAUUUAUCAUGUAGAAUGUGUUACCAGUUCUUAGCAUGCACCAAUUAUUUUAUUUUGCGUUUUUAAUGCAUCGCAUGAUUUCUUUUAUAACAAGACACCCUCCAAAGCAAUUCCACAGAGGCAGCGAGAGGUGUUCUCUCUAUACCUGUUUUUCCCCAUAUCUCUGGUUUUGAUUUCCUGAUAUACAGUUUAUAUAAAUACCACAAUAUGCCAGAUAUGAAAGAGAAAAGCGACAGAAGAAUCCAAUGGAAGAAUUUGGUGAAGAACAAGAACAGACUAUGCAUUGGAGGUUCAGAACCAAUUUCUAUGGAUGAUCAACAUAUGGAUGUUAGUGAGAUUCAAGGGAAAGCGCGACACGACUGUGCCUUCUAUAAGCAAAGCUGAGCUGUUGAGAUUAUUCUAUCCUCAAGUAUUGGUUUAUUAUUGAGGAAGCCUUAAACGCAGGAGCUGAAUGUUGUUUUUUAUCUUUUGUCAAAGUCCUGAAUGGUCCAAUGAAAAUCUUGGUACGUACAGUUUCAGAGCUUCAUCCCAUUGUAGUAGGGCAAAAUGGUAUGCAGAGUGUUGAAAGCUUCAUUUUGGUCCAUUAGGUAGUUUAUAGCUUUGUCACUGGAGGUCUGACAAUAAUCGCAGCUUGUGAAAAUUAUAUAUGGCCAUGAGUGCUCAAUAGUUCUCCAUGCAACACAGCUAAUUAUUGAAUCUGUAAUACAUGCUUGUUUCUGGCAGAAGCUUAUUUGAUGAAUUAGCAUUGUGUAAAGUCUUUCUAAGCCCACUUCUCUUUUCUUUCUAUAAACUGGACGACCAGGAUAGAUUUCUCAAUACCAUUUUCGGAUUGUUUAAGCACUGAACAAUGUUAACAGGUUUACCAUUUCUCAUCUCUUUAUGAUAUGCGUAGGUAUUCUGGCAUCUCAAUUUGUCCCCAACCUCUUUCACCGGCCCAUAAAUUAUCUGUCUCUAGGUCUCCACAAUUGUAUUUUGGUGCAGAAAAACAAAGAACUAUUUUUGGCUCAGCUACUUUAUAGGUAUCGUGUACGUUGUCAUGGAUUUGAUGUCAUGUAGUUCCAGGUGUAUUAUUAUACUCCCAGUCUUAGUAUUAGAAAAACAAUAACUAUUUUUGCCUCAGCUACUUUAUAGGUAUCAUGUACGUUGUCAUGGAUUUGAUGUCAUGUAGUUCCAGGUGUAUUAUUAUACUCCCAGUCUUAGUAUAUGAAGGCGUGAUAUAAUGUUACCCUGAA